rnacentral:pre_miRNA from 13 species
CCUUUGAAGUGGCAUCCGUGUGCGAUAGUUUGGCAGUGUUUGUUAGCUGGUUGAAUAUUUAAAUGGCACCAGCUGACAGACAGCUGCUUUCCUAUUGCAUGUACCACGAGCAUCGAACGAG